rnacentral:misc_RNA from 1 species
CCAAUAUUAGCGAACCUGGUCGCUUUUGACCAAGGUUUCGUGAAAUUUGUAUUUAAAACCCACACCUUUAUAAAUUUUAUUGUAUCAAUUAUGAUAAAAAAGA